CGGAGAAGCAGGGGAUCGCAAGACCUUGCGCUAAAGGAGCGGCCGAUGUCUGAUUAGCUAGUUGGUGGGGUAAAGGCUUACCAAGGCAACGAUCAGUAGUUGGUCUGAGAGGACGGCCAACCACACUGGGACUGAGACACGGCCCAGACUCCUACGGGAGGCAGCAGUGGGGAAUUUUGGACAAUGGGCGAAAGCCUGAUCCAGCCAUGCCGCGUGAGUGAAGAAGGCCUUCGGGUUGUAAAGCUCUUUUAGUCAGAAAGAAAGAGUUGCAAUGAAUAAUUGUGAUUUAUGACGGUACCGACAGAAAAAGCACCGGCUAACUACGUGCCAGCAGCCGCGGUAAUACGUAGGGUGCGAGCGUUAAUCGGAAUUACUGGGCGUAAAGGGUGCGCAGGCGGUCUUGCAAGUCAGAUGUGAAAGCCCCGGGCUUAACCUGGGAAUUGCGUUUGAAACUACAAAGCUAG
rnacentral:rRNA from 1 species